rnacentral:rRNA from 1 species
UACGGGGGGGGCAAGCGUUGUUCGGAAUUACUGGGCGUAAAGGGCUCGUAGGCGGCCAACUAAGUCAGACGUGAAAUCCCUCGGCUUAACCAGGGAACUGCGUCUGAUACUGGAUGGCUUGAGUUUGGGAGAGGGAUGCGGAAUUCCAGGUGUAGCGGUGAAAUGCGUAGAUAUCUGGAGGAACACCGGUGGCGAAGGCGGCAUCCUGGACCAACACUGACGCUGAGUGAGCGAAAGCCAGGGGAGCAAACGGG